UACGUAGGGCGCAAGCGUUGUCCGGAAUUAUUGGGCGUAAAGAGCUCGUAGGCGGCUUGUCACGUCGGGUGUGAAAGCCCGGGGCUUAACCCCGGGUCUGCAUUCGAUACGGGCUGGCUAGAGUGUGGUAGGGGAGAUCGGAAUUCCUGGUGUAGCGGUGAAAUGCGCAGAUAUCAGGAGGAACACCGAUGGCGAAGGCAGGUCUCUGGGCCACUACUGACGCUGAGAAGCGAAAGCAUGGGGAGCGAACAGG
rnacentral:rRNA from 1 species